UUGAGCUGUAUGCGAUGAAAGUCGCACGUACAGUUCUUGGAGGGGGAAAGAUUCGUGAGAAUCCGACCUAUCUCAAC
rfam:Sporisorium reilianum SRZ2 mitochondrial DNA sequence